AUUGAACGCUGGCGGCAUGACUUACACAUGCAAGUCGAACGGCAGCAUGGAAGAGCUUGCUCUUCUGAUGGCGAGUGGCGAACGGGUGAGUAAAGCAUCGGAACGUACCGUGUAGUGGGGGAUAACGUAGCGAAAGUUACGCUAAUACCGCAUACGCACUGAGGUGGAAAAGCAGGGGAUCGCAAGACCUUGCGCUAUACGAGCGGCCGAUGUCAGAUUAGCUAGUUGGUAGGGUAAAGGCCUACCAAGGCGACGAUCUGUAGCGGGUCUGAGAGGAUGAUCCGCCACACUGGGACUGAGACACGGCCCAGACUCCUACGGGAGGCAGCAGUGGGGAAUUUUGGACAAUGGGCGAAAGCCUGAUCCAGCCAUGCCGCGUGAGUGAAGAAGGCCU
rnacentral:rRNA from 1 species